rnacentral:rRNA from 1 species
ACUCUCGGCAAUGGAUAUCUAGGCUCUCGCAUCGAUGAAGAACGUAGCAAAAUGCGAUACUUGGUGUGAAUUGCAGAAUCCCGUGAACCAUCGAGUUUUUGAACGCAAGUUGCGCCCGAAACCAUUAGGCCGAGGGCACGUCUGCCUGGGUGUCUUA